GAGCUGGAGAUCGUGGCCUGAGUGAUAUCUUGCAUAUUUGUAUUGUUUUAACCAUCUAUUUUGUACAUAUUGAUCAUAUAGAUUAGGAAUUAAGCAUCUUUAGGAUCCAUAUUGCAUUCAUAAGUCUUUAUCAGGUAUCAGAGUGUCCUAUGGAGCGAUUGGAGGUGUUUAUAAGCAUUUUGGUACAUGAAGGGAUGGAAAAUGAAGUUGGUUCGGUUUUGGGCGAGCACGACGCGGGUUGGAGCACCCUGAGUUCACCUACCUGCGUAGCCGAGCCAAGAAGAGCCUCCACGCGGGAUGAGUGGCGCGGGAUCGUGAACCCGCGCGCACGAAGAGGAAGAAGAGAGACAACGCCUCGACGCGGGUUCCCUUACACGCGUUGUCGAAGAGAGACAGUCGAUGGAGUCACGCGGGUUGGAGCACGCGGAGUCGUCUACCCGCGCGCAUGACGAGAGAGCAACCUCGACAGUCUGACGCGGGAAGAAGGGCGCGGGACGAGCUACCCGCGUGCAUGAAGUGAAGGUCUCAACGCUCCAACGCGGGUAG
rnacentral:lncRNA from 1 species